rnacentral:lncRNA from 1 species
UCAUAUAGGUCCUACCCAAGGACUACCCCUCACAAAGGACAAGGCCCUAGUCAGUCCCGACUGAAUUAAGAGGCCCCCAUCAUCCAGUCGGUAACAGGUCCUCAACCAUCCAGUCGGAGACUAGCAUUCGGAGGAUACCAAGCUAACCGACUGGCUACACUCGGUACAUCGUAACCUCUCUGGAGGGAAACUGCCGUACGUUUCCGGGUGCAUUUAUUAGCAUUUAGAGCAUACGUUACCUGUAACGUACGCAUUCAAUCCCC